rnacentral:tRNA from 1 species
GGGGGUAUAGUUCAACUGGUAGAGCAGCGGUCUCCAAAACCGAAGGUUGGGUGUUCGAUCCGUCCUGCCCCUGCCA